GACGAACGCUGGCGGCGUGCUUAACACAUGCAAGUCGAACGAAGAGCGAUGGAAGCUUGCUUCUAUCAAUCUUAGUGGCGAACGGGUGAGUAACGCGUAAUCAACCUGCCCUUCAGAGGGGGACAACAGUUGGAAACGACUGCUAAUACCGCAUACGAUCUAAUCUCGGCAUCGAGGAUAGAUGAAAGGUGGCCUCUACAUGUAAGCUAUCACUGAAGGAGGGGAUUGCGUCUGAUUAGCUAGUUGGAGGGGUAACGGCCCACCAAGGCGAUGAUCAGUAGCCGGUCUGAGAGGAUGAACGGCCACAUUGGGACUGAGACACGGCCCAGACUCCUACGGGAGGCAGCAGUGGGGAAUCUUCCGGAAUGGACGAAAGUCCGACGGAGCAACGCCGCGUGAGUGAUGACGGCCUUCGGGUUGUAAAGCUCUGUUAAUCGGGACGAAAGGCCUUCUUGCGAAUAGUGAGAAGGAUUGACGGUACCGGAAUAGAAAGCCACGGCUAACUACGUG
rnacentral:rRNA from 1 species